AUGUGCUACUUGUGUAGGAGGAAACACCAGGUAUGUAGCACAGUCUGCACCCUCGGAACCUUCAGAUUGGAGUUGGAGCAGAAGAACACAAGCAGCUGUGCUACACAGCAGAACAUGGGAUGUCAUGGAAGAAAGACCCAGGUUCUGGGAAGGUCUUGUGCACCAAAAGGACUUAAGGAAGGUGGGAGCCACAGGCAGCUCUACUACAUCUGGUAUUUGUGAGAGCAUUGCCCAUUUUCAGGAUGAACUGCAGGGUAGCAGUAUAAACUCUGGACAAAAUACAAAACAACACUAACCUGAAGUCACCAAAGUGAACACAAGUGGGCAGAUUCUGGAGGGGAG